rnacentral:rRNA from 1 species
GGAGGAGCUCGCUUACUAUCAGCUUGUUGGUAGGGUAAUGGCCUACCAAGGCUAUAGACGGUUAGGGGGUGUGAGAGCAUGACCCCCAGCAUUGGCACUGAAACACUGGCCAAACACCUACGGGUAGCUGCAGUCGAGAAUCUUCCACAAUGGGGGAAACCCUGAUGGAGCGAUGCUGCGUAGCGGGAUGAAGGCCUUCGGGUAGUAAACCGCUUUUGUAGGGGACGAAAUUUUUGACGGUACCCUUUCGAAUAAGAGGUUGCUAACUCUAGUGCCAGCAGCAGCGGUAAUACAGAGACCUCAAGCGUUAUCCGGAUUUACUGGGCGUAAGGCGUCUGUAGGGGGUUUAUUAAGUUCCAAGUAAAUCUCAAGGCUCAACUUUGAAUUCGCUUGGAAAACUGAUAAACUGGAAUCUAGCAGAGGUGCAUGGAACUUGUGGUGUAGGAGUGAAAUCCGUUGAUAUCACAAGGAACACCAAAGGCGAAGGCAUUGCACUGGGCUAGCACUGACCCUGAGAGACGGAAGCGUGGGGAGCAAAACGGAUUAGAUACCCGUGUAGUCCACGCCCUAAACGAUGAAUGCUAAAUGUUCGGGGAUUCGACCCCCUGGGUGUUACAGCUAACGCGUUAAGCAUUCCGCCUGGGAAGUACGGCCGCAAGGCUAAAACUCAAAGGAAUAGACGGGGAUCCGCACAAGCGGUGGAGCGUCUGGUUUAAUUCGACAGUAAGCGUGGUACCUCACCAGGGUUUGACAUCCCUUGACAGCCUUGGAAACAAGGUUUCCUUCGGGCAAGGUGACAGGUGCUGCAUGGUCGUCGUCAGUUCGUGCCGUGAGGUGUUCCGUUAAGUCGGGAAACGAACGAAACCCCUAUUGCAUGUUACAAUUUCUCAUGCAAGACUGCCCGGAUAUACUGGGAGGAAGGUGGGGAUGACGUCAGAUCUGCAUGGUCCUUAUACCCUGGGCGACACAGGCGCUACAAUGGCAGAGACAAAGGGUUGCAAAACCGCAAGGUGAAGCUAAUCCCAAAAACUUUGUCUAAGUUCGGAUUGAAGGCUGCAAUUCGCCUUCAUGAAGCUGGAAUCGCUAGUAAUCGUGAAUCAGCCACGUCACGGUGAAUAUGUUCCCGGAUCUUGUACUCACCGCCCGUCACACCAAGAGAGUUGGUAGCUCCCGAAGCGUCCCGUUUUAGCGGGCAUCACGGAGAGAUCAGCGAUAGGGGUGAAGUCG